rnacentral:SRP_RNA from 1 species
GCCGAGCUGGGUAACGCCAUCUUGUAACCCGGGCCUUGAGGUGAUUGGACAAUGACUCGGCCCAUCUGGCAGGGUCUGUGGGAGCGUCUUCCUGGCCCGCCCCGCGUGAGGCUGGUUUCACAGAGCAGCGAAAACCUCCCGCUCCGGACAGUGGAAGGAUAACGGGCCGGUGCUUCCUAGACCCAAAUUGUCUGGUGGGCUGAGAUCAAUUGGACAUCACCUUU